rnacentral:lncRNA from 1 species
CUCAGAGCCUGGGCAGGAUGACAGUGCCGAUUGGGCCCUCGCAACCCUCUGAGCCUUCUGUGAAUCAGCCUGCGGUGAGGCUGCGCCCGGGCUCCCGGGUGGGGCACCUCCACCCCAGCCUGGCCCUCCUUCCUCUCCCCUUUAGGUCUUGCUGAUUUCUGUCCUCCAGGUCUUCUCAGUAGAAUGAGGAUAAUCCUGAAUUCAGAACAUAUUUCCUGAGUACGGUGAGUGCCCAGGAGAUGGGGGCUGAGAGCUGGCUCCUGCGCUCCUGAGAGCACAGUUUCCUGGGCAGGAGCAGAGAGAAGGCCCAGAGGAAGAUGGGAGGGAGGCAAGGCAAAGGAUGCUGUGGGGAGAGCCCAGAGCUGGGCCGCAGGAUUUCUCCUACAGUCGGAGGGAAAACCCGGGAAUGAGGAAUGCUGAUGGACAUAGCACUAUCAGAGGACUUGAUCCUGUUUCUCAGAGAGGAAGACAGACACUCUUAGCAUAAUGAGGGUCAAAAGUUGGGCCAGGCCGGGCACGGUGGCUCACGCCUGUAAUCCCAGCACUUUGGGAGGCUGAGGCAGGCAGAUCACUUGAGGUCAGGAGUUUGAGGCCAGCCUGGCCAACAUGGUGAAACCUCAUCUCCACUAAAAAUACAAAAAUUAGCUGGGUGUGGUGGCACAUGCCUGUAGUCCCAGCUACUCAGGAGGCUUAGGCAGAAGAAUCGCUAGAAUCCAGGAGGCAGAGGCUGCAGUGAGCCGAGAUCACACCACUGCACUCCAGCCUGGGUGACAGAGCGAGACUCUGUCUCAAAAAAAAAAAAAAAAAAGAAAUUGGGGCUAGCAGUAUCGAUAAUAGGGGAUCUCAUACCAAGAGAGCAAAUGGCCCAACAUUCAUCUUCAGAGUAAAGAGGUCUGGUUAAAAAAAAAAGCGUAUAUGUAUACACACACACACACACAACUGAAGAAAACGCCAAGGGAAAAAAAAUGUAAGCUAUAACCCCAGAACACAAAACAUAAUGCCCUUCACCCCUCCUCCAUGCGACCUGCCAGCAGAAAGACUGGGG